rnacentral:rRNA from 1 species
GACGAACGCUGGCGGCGUGCUUAACACAUGCAAGUCGAACGGAAAUGCCCUGCUUUUGUGGGGUGCUCGAGUGGCGAACGGGUGAGUAACACGUGAGUAACCUGCCCUUGACUUUGGGAUAACUUCAGGAAACUGGGGCUAAUACCGGAUAGGAGCUCCUGCUGCAUGGUGGGGGUUGGAAAGUUUCGGCGGUUGGGGACGGACUCGCGGCUUAUCAGCUUGUUGGUGGGGUAGUGGCUUACCAAGGCUUUGACGGGUAGCCGGCCUGAGAGGGUGACCGGCCACAUUGGGACUGAGAUACGGCCCAGACUCCUACGGGAGGCAGCAGUGGGGAAUAUUGCACAAUGGGCGGAAGCCUGAUGCAGCAACGCCGCGUGCGGGAUGACGGCCUUCGGGUUAUAAACCGCUUUCGCCUGUGACGAAGCGUGAGUGACGGUAAUGGGUAAAGAAGCACCGGCUAACUACGUG